rnacentral:rRNA from 1 species
GCUAAUACCGGAUAACAACAGAUGAUGCCUAUCAACUGUUUAAAAGAUGGUUCUGCUAUCACUCUUGGAUGGACCUGCGGUGCAUUAGCUAGUUGGUAGGGUAACGGCCUACCAAGGCGAUGAUGCAUAGCCGAGUUGAGAGACUGAUCGGCCACAUUGGGACUGAGACACGGCCCAAACUCCUACGGGAGGCAGCAGGG